rnacentral:rRNA from 1 species
UACGUAGGGUGCGAGCGUUGUCCGGAAUUAUUGGGCGUAAAGAGCUCGUAGGCGGUGUGUCACGUCGGCCGUGAAAACCUGCAGCUUAACUGUGGGCGUGCGGUCGAUACGGGCAUCACUGGAGUUCGGCAGGGGAGACUGGAAUUCCUGGUGUAGCGGUGAAAUGCGCAGAUAUCAGGAGGAACACCGGUGGCGAAGGCGGCAUCCUGGACCGACACUGACACUGAGGAGCGAAAGCCAGGGGAGCAAACGGG